rnacentral:lncRNA from 1 species
AGUAUGAAAUGAAAUAUCUUCUCUUGGAUGUUUGUGCCUAUGUAUUUGUUUGAGAUGACUCUUGAUACAGGAAGCUUUUCCUGCUUCUUACGAAAAGGGAUAUUGGAUGCCUUAAUGUCUAAUACCAACCAAGUGUCAUUGCAAAGAUAGGUCAAAGAUAUAUUAAUAUAGAUUACACUCUGAGUGAUGGUGACAUGGUAAAAAGAGAGAGCAGUAUGAAUAUUUGCUGCAUCAUUUACUUCUAUUAUUUAUAUCUUCAAGGUAUCUUACUGAUUUCUAUUGGUUUUAUUUGUGGAAAGAAUAUCUCGAGCGGGAGAAUUGGAUCACAAUUGACUAGAUGUUUUACUAUUUUAAAUGAGUUUAUCACAAAGAAUUUUUUACUGAUUCAUGUUCUGUAAUGUAGGUAGAAUAAUCGCAAUGUCGUGGUAGUAAUUCGCGAGAGAUAUGCCAAUAGGGUUUCGCUGUUUUCAAUUCGCAAUCGUAAUGGAUUUGAAGAGGAUAUUGAUGGAGUUUUGGUAUAAAAAAGUACAUGUUCGUUGGAAGGGCACCGAAGAGUUCCGGAUCCUUUUACUAUCGCACAUAUUAUGUAAGUAUAAGUAAAUCCGGAAGAUAAACGUCGAAUUGUUGGCGAUAUGUUUGUCAAAGUGAUAGAUAGAACGGCUAACGAUUUAAAUGUCACUUGGGAUAAUCUACUUCUCGGAUAAGCUGUCCCGUCAGCUGUUCCAUUUCGCGUGGCUUCGGACAGAGGAUGGCUGCUGAAACGAACGUCUCUUCUUGAAAUUUUACCACUGAUUCCGUGUAUUUUGAGUUGCAUCUUGUGAAUUCAAUCAAUGCAGAGUUGUUCAAGGAGCCAUAAAGACUCAUCAUAACGAUUCCGAAAUGGUUCGUCAGUUUCGCAUUUACGGUAGUGUAGUAGAACCUCUUAAAGAUUUCAUUUCCUUAAAGAUGAAGUAAGGUCUUAGGUCGUGAGCUGGGUCUGUCCACAGUAUUACUGGAAUGUUACCCGUUUCCUGGUCCUGGUUAUAUAUUUAUAUUUAGUUAUAUUAUUAUUCUUAAAACCCAGAGGUGUUCUUCACUUUUCAGGGGAUUGAUUGAUGAUACUUGUUGAUUAAUCCAUGAAGAAUGGAUAAGUGGAGGGUAAUAAAAGUUUAAAAUUGUAA